CAGUCGCCACGGUAAUACGUAGGAGGCAAGCGUUGUCCGGAAUUAUUGGGCGUAAAGGGCUCGCAGGCGGUUUCUUAAGUCUGAUGUGAAAGCCCCCGGCUCAACCGGGGAGGGUCAUUGGAAACUGGGAAACUUGAGUGCAGAAGAGGAGAGUGGAAUUCCACGUGUAGCGGUGAAAUGCGUAGAGAUGUGGAGGAACACCAGUGGCGAAGGCGACUCUCUGGUCUGUAACUGACGCUGAGGAGCGAAAGCGUGGGGAGCGAACAGGAUUAGAUACCCCCGUAGUCCCUGUCUCUUAUAC
rnacentral:rRNA from 1 species